ACGGGAGGCAGCAGUGAGGAAUAUUGGUCAAUGGACGAGAGUCUGAACCAGCCAAGUAGCGUGAAGGAUGACUGCCUAUGGGUUGUAAACUUCUUUUAUACGGGAAUAAGUGAGGCACGUGUGCCUUUUUGUAUGUACCGUAUGAAUAAGGAUCGGCUAACUCCGUGCCAGCAGCCGCGGUAAUACGGAGGAUCCGAGCGUUAUCCGGAUUUAUUGGGUUUAAAGGGAGCGUAGGCGGACGCUUAAGUCAGUUGUGAAAGUUUGCGGCUCAACCGUAAAAUUGCAGUUGAUACUGGGUGUCUUGAGUACAGUAGAGGCAGGCGGAAUUCGUGGUGUAGCGGUGAAAUGCUUAGAUAUCACGAAGAACUCCGAUUGCGAAGGCAGCCUGCUGGACUGUAACUGACGCUGAUGCUCGAAAGUGUGGGUAU
rnacentral:rRNA from 1 species